rnacentral:sRNA from 12 species
GGCCUAAACUGCUCGAGGACGAGUAGCAUGGCCAAAAAAAACCGAUCAGGGUAUUGAGCUCCUCGUCAGAGCACCCUGAUCGGUCAUAUCCCGAAAGGGAUAUGGGUGGCGCAAGCCAUC